rnacentral:misc_RNA from 1 species
CAGUAAAUCAUCACCAUUGAGCGUCUUUCUUUUCUCCCUCUGGCACUUAUCACCCGCCUCGCUGGUAAUGAAGCUGAUGAACUCAGAGACGCAUUCCUGAACGGUCUCCUUGGCAUCCUUGGCGAUCUUACCAUUGGCAGGAAUCGCCUUCUUCAUGAUCCGGCUAAUAUUAGCAAUAGGAAGAUACCUCUCUUGCUCACGGACAUUAGUGUUGGAGUUGGAGCGGGGGCUAUGCUCACCACUCUCGCGGCUGCCUCCGCCUGGGCUCGCCGGUGGUGCCUCCUCCGCCAUCCUCAGACCCUAGCUGACAACAGCAAUCACCGAAAACCAUCGUUAAUGAAGAGAUUAGAGAAACAGCAAAGGGAGAGAGCAAGAAAAGGAGAGAAAGAGAGAAAGUGCGGGUGUAUGAAGAGGGAUAGUAUGAUUUACCUAGGAGAGCUUUGGAAAAGGGCGCCAGAGAAUAAUAAGGAUUGGAUAGGGAGGUGAAAGAGGAAAGAGAAGGGAUCGGACGCUGGAGAAGAGAGGAGAUAGGAGACGACUCUGAUCAGAUCAUGCAAUUUAUCAACACCGUUGGUUUUGAUUCUGCUCUCUCUCUCUCU